UGACUGUUUACCAAAAACAUAGCCCUAGAAACUAUCUAAGGUGUAACCUGCCCAGUGGCUUUUCUACCUAAGACAAUCUCUUUAAAAUAAAGCUAAAAGGACGCGGUAACCUUGACCGUGAUAAUGUAGCAUAAUCAUUCGCCAUUUAAUUGAUGGAUAGUAUGAAUGGUUGAACGAAUAUCCCACUGUCUUAGAGAGAAUUAAAGGAAAUUGAAAUGGUAGUUAAGAUGCUACCUAAAAUUGUAAGACGAAAAGACCCUAUAGAGCUUAACUAUAACUUCUUUAUAACCAAAUAGAAAAUAAUCUAAGAACUAAAGAGGUAGGUAGUUUAGUUGGGGCGACUGUCUUUUAUAGUAAACGAAGACAAGCAAAAUUAAUAAAAAAUUUACUGUAUAACUAAAGAAUUUAACAGUUAUUAUAAUAGGCUAUAAUGACCCGUCUACGCUUAGAAAUAAGGUAGACGAUCAAUUGAUAAAAGCUACCUUAUGGGAUAACAGGAUAAUUUCAUU
rnacentral:rRNA from 1 species